UUACGGUCAUAUCACAUUGAAACACCGCUUCCUGUAAGAUCACCGAAGUUAAGCAACAUCAAGCCUGGUCAGUACCUAGAUGAGUGACCGCUUGGGAAUACCAGGUCGU
rnacentral:rRNA from 1 species